ensembl:lncRNA
UGUGGCAGGAUGGUGCUUUUGCUCACUGUACACUGCAGAAGAGAUCUUGUUCUGUCUUCAGGUGGCAAAAAUAAAGAUUGGAUUCUCCUUGUGUGUCUCAUGCUGAAUGUCUGUCAGAGGGUUCCACUUGAAAGUGGAACAUGCGGUCCUGGUUUUGUGACAUGUAAGCGGGAGGGAUGUGUGGAGGAUAUUAAAGUGUGUGACGGCACGGAUGACUGUUGUUAUGGAAGGGAUGAAGAGAACUGUGAGCAGAACAUGAGCUGUGACUUUGAAAAUGGCCUUUGUGGAUGGGACCUAAGAACAUUAUCAUCCUUGAAAAGGACAAGGACCAGUCAGAUGAAUAUAUCACUUUCUGAGCCUCUAAAAGGACCUGGUAGAGACCACAAAACUAAUACUCUGGCAGGAACGUAUGGACAGGGCUGGCCCAGGCUCUGUUGGUGCCCUAGGCGAGAUUUUAGAUUUCCACCCCCUGCUAAAAAAAUUCUGAAAAUCCAGAUUUUUCAAAACUUUACUAUAAUGUAACAUAACAUAAAUAAGUAACUACAUAACUACAUAAAUAAGUAGUAAAUAAAUUGUGAUAAUAAAUAAAUGGAGAUGUUGAA